rnacentral:lncRNA from 10 species
CUGGUUUCUCCCUGCCAUGAUGAAUCCUGGCAUGAUUUGCCUGGCUGUUUUGACAUUUUGUAGACCUAGCAUAUGUGGGAGGGCACUUGAAAGACAUCUCAUACUCAAGUGGUCUCUCCUCUUCCCAUACACACCUUAUGGAGUCUUCACAGGGUGUGAUGAUGGGAAGCCUAGACAUGCUCAUCAGAAGGUCCUGCUGAAGGUUCUGCCCACAACAGAAAUUUGAAGUCUCCUGAAUGAUGUAGCAGUAAUGCCCUGUUCCGCCUGUUGCAUAACUCCCAGCCUCAUACUGCCUGGUGAUGGAAUUAUUGAUUGUGAAGCAUUUCACAACACAUUUUCAAAACAUGCUGAAGGUCAAGAAUGGAUGACUCAUAGGCAGUAACAGUUUUUUCUGCCUCAGUCCCUCUACAUGAUAUUGGUGAGAUGUCAGGAGCAAUGGAGCACCAGUGGUGGAAGAACCUACCUCCCCUGGCUCCAUCAAAGGCCACAGGCCCAUGAGAAUCACCCAGCCUACUCUGCGCGGCACACUCGGAGACCACAGCCGCGCACAGGAAAGCGAGAGGAAGUGGAAACGUGCGAGCAGAGGGCUCAAAGCAACGGGCUCACCACCGGAAAAAAAAAAAUAAAAAUAAACAUGCUCAGAAAUAGUGUAACUGAUAUGCAAAGAAGAUCAAAACAAGGGUUUUAAAAUAUCUUGGCUGCUUUAGAGAAGGUGGGGGUGGUAAUUAAAGCGAGGUUGCAAAUGCGUGUUAGGGGAGUGGGGCGGUUAGGUGGAUGGUUCACUGAAGCCUGCCAGGCCAUGGGAGCCUGGGAGCCCAAGGGUAUUUCAGAUGAAAAUGUGGCACUUAUAUGUGGAAUGUAAAAAAUAGAUGAACUCAUAGAAGCAGAGAAUAAAAUGGUUAUUCUCAGAGGCUGCCAGGUGGUGGGACUGGGGAGAUGUUGGUCAAAGGAUACAACAUUUUAAUAAAUUCAAGAGAUUCAUUGCCCAUCGUGGUGACUAUAGUUAACAUCAAUAGAUUAUA